AGUUGGAUAAAUGAUCGCGGCUGUAAGUGUCGAAAGACCACAGGUGAGGAAAGUCCGGGCUUCAUAGGGCAGGGUGCCGGAUAACGUCCGGUGGAGGCGACUCCCAGGCUAGUGCAACAGAAAUAAACCGCCAGUUAUUUUAUUGGUAAGGAUGGAAAGGCGAGGUAAGAGCUCACCGCUAAUCUGGUAACAGAUUAGGCUCUGUAAACCCCACUCGAAGCAAGACCAAAACGUAGGCGAUACGAUUGCCCGUCGUGCUUACAGGUAGGUCGCUUGAUCUUAUUGGUAACAAUAAGGCUAGAUAGAUGAUCAUUCACGACAUAACCCGGCUUAUCGUUCGACUCAU
rnacentral:RNase_P_RNA from 1 species